GACUGUCUCCCGACACGCCGGCUGAGAACCCUUUUCGACUGUGAGCUGCGGCAGCUGAGCAGAGGCGGCGGCGCGGGACCUGCAAUCGCCAGGGAUUCCCUCCAGGUGACGAUGCUCUGGUUCUCCGGCGUCGGGGCUCUGGCUGAGCGUUACUGCCGCCGCUCGCCUGGGAUUACGUGCUGCGUCUUGCUGCUACUCAAUUGCUCGGGGGUCCCCAUGUCUCUGGCUUCCUCCUUCUUGACAGGUUCUGUUGCAAAAUGUGAAAAUGAAGGUGAAGUCCUCCAGAUUCCAUUUAUCACAGACAACCCUUGCAUAAUGUGUGUCUGCUUGAACAAGGAAGUGACAUGUAAGAGAGAGAAGUGCCCCGUGCUGUCCCGAGACUGUGCCCUGGCCGUCAAGCAGAGGGGAGCCUGUUGUGAACAGUGCAAAGGUGAUUGAUGUCUUGGCCGUCUUCUCUUCUGGCUGCUGCUUCAGGCAUUUUUAUUUCUCUUUCUCUCACCUUCCUUUUCACUCAGCUUUUGGCUGGGGUGCACAUGGGUGGGGAGGAGAAGUAGGAUAUGUGUGUGUGUGUGUGUGUGUGUAUGUAUGUGUGUGUUUGUGUGUAUGUG
rnacentral:sRNA from 1 species